AAAUAAAAACAAAACAAAAGAAACAGAAUAGAAAGAACAAAGAAACAGAGAAGCAAACGAAACAGGGGAAGAAAGAAGAAAAAAAGAAAGAAAAAGGGGAAAAUAGAUUUUUAAAGCUUGGAGUUAAUUUGCUAAUAAAGAACCCGAGGCAUCGCCAUCAAAAGGAAAAGGGAAAGCUAUCGAGGACUAAGGCGGGAGAUUUAUGGUCGAUAGAAGUCAAAGGUCCCGGUUUAGCAUCCAGAUUAAUCCCGACUUCAGCAUAACUUUGGUGAUGUAUAUUUUCUUUUGGGUAAUGUGGCAUGUACAUAGGAUGUGUA